rnacentral:lncRNA from 1 species
GACUCUUAUCCCAACCCAAUGAGUUACUUGACCUUGGGCAAGCUCUUGUUCUGGGCCAGGUGCUUAUGUACUUUAUCUUAUUUUAUUCCUAAAAUCAGCCUGCUGAGGUAAAAAUGUUCCCCCAUUUUGUAGCUGAGGAAAUUGAAACUUGGAGAAGGUAAUUCAUCUGGGUCCCUCCAUAAAUAAGUGGCAGGACCAGGGUUCCACCCCAGGUCUGACUCCAAAGUUCCUGUGCUUUCUGCCCUGUGCAGCUGAGGGGAACGAGUUUUGUCUAUGCCCCAGCACAGCCAGGGUCCUCUGGGAGAUGCAGCUCUGGGCAAAGGGGUUUGUUGAUCACCGUCGCCGUAGGAGUCAGCAGGAUGAUCUGACCAGCCAGGUUGCUAAUUUUGUUUUAGCCUGCGUGAAUGGAAGCAUAGUGUUCCUAAUACAGGAAGCGAUGUGCUGUGCUGCUCGGAGGAGAUCGUAGAUGGAAUAUUGGGGUCCCUUCUGGGAUCAUCCUUUUAAGAGGGAUGUGACUAGAUGAAGCCCUUCUGCAGUGCUGACUGUGAUGGCAUCGGAAAUCUUGUCUCCUGAAGAACAGCUACAGGAAUGAAUUGGGGGUGUUUCAUGUGAGGAAGAGGAAACCCACAGGGAAAUGAGGGCUGGCUGCAAAUAUCUGAAGGGCUGUCACAUAGAAGAAUUUUGUUCCCUGGGAAAGCUACAGAGAGAGGGUUUUGGCUCCAGGUUUAUAACAGAACCUUCUAAAAUAUCUCAGGAUGUAGUGAAAUACGGUCACCAGAGGUAAUCAGGCGCAUUGGAGAGUAUGGAGUAAAUACCUUCUAUGAUUCCUCUGCCCAGAGCCCCUGAAUGUGGCUUUGCUGAUGCUGCUCUGGGUAUAGGUCCCGGCAGGGGGUUCAGAAGGGAAGGGUUUAGAUUGUUUCCUCUCUCCUCAGCAGACUCCAGGGAGUUCCCAUUGUGGCGCAGAGGAAACGAAUCUGACGAGUAACCAUGAUGUUGCAGGUUCAAUCCCUGGCCUCACUCAGUAAGCCGUGAACUGUGGUGUAGUUCAUAGAUGUGGCCCGGAUCCUGUGUUGCUGUGCCUGGGUUGAAUCAGAGCUGUAGCCACCGGCCUACGCCAGAGCCACAGCAACGCGGGAUCCGAGCCGCGUCUGCAACCUACACCACAGCUCAUGGCAACGCCGGAUUGUUAACCCACUGAGCAAGGGCAGGGACCGAACCCGCAACCUCAUGGUUCCUAGUUGGAUUCGUUAACCACUGUGCCACGACGGGAACUCCCUGGAGCGGGUUUUCUUGAGAGGUAGGAGUUCCUCAACAUUAGGGGUGUCCAAGCUAGACAGUCAGUCAGCAGGGAUGUUGUUAAGGGUUGGUCCUUGGUUUUGCUGUUUUCGAAGACUGCUUCCAGCUCUGAGUUGAUGGAACCAUUUUUUGGCCAUCAACAUUUUUUUUUUUUCCUUUUUUAGCUGCACCUCUGGCAAGUGGAAGUUCCCAGACCAGAGAUGGAACCUAUAUUACAGCAGUGACCCCAGCUGCUGUAGUGAUGACAGAUCCUUAACCUGUUGCACCACAAGAGAACACCUGGCCAUGGACAUUUGAUCCAGCCAGGUAAGGAAACGUUUGUGAGGGGUACCCGAUCACGGCCCUGUUGAGGUACUGCUUCUAAAAGGGCAACUGAUGACCUCAGAGACUUGCUGCCCCACACGGCCAGGUGGGGCACUCACCCCGACAUUGCCUCUAUUACUUCUUGGGAGAGUAGUUAUUUCUUGGACACAGGUGCUGUCAGAGAGUCCUGUCACCCCAUUACCUAAUUGUUUAUCCCAAGAGUGGGGGUACUUGAGUGUUGGUGUCACAUUCAUCCUUUUCUGAGGAUGGAGUAGGUUGAAAUAACUUCAGAGCCAAGUGGCUAGUGGCAGAGCACACCUAUGUCUGGACCACUAAGCCAGCUCUGAAGAAGCCACAGUUAGCUUUUAAUUUUGGUCUCAGUUACUCCUUCAUCUUCAUUUGCUACCUUGGACUUGCCUACAGGAAGUGAAAAAGCAAAGGCACUGUGUUUUCUGGGUUCAUUUGCUUUUUUUUUUUUUUUUUAAUGAUAAGCAGUUUAUUUGCUUUCAAAGAACCAUUUCCUAAGCAUCUACCUGCACAAAGCACCUGCUAGUCUCUGUUCUUCCAUUCCUUCAAAGUGUCCACCAUGUGCCAGACACUGUGCAAGAGCCUGGAGAUAUAGGGCUGCGAAAAGACACAAGUGGUCCUUCCCUUGAAGUUAUAAUCCGGCAGGAGAGACAACUAUUGAAAGAAUAAGUCUAAGGCCCUGAUUGUGAAGGGAGACAGUCACACACAGACUGAAUGGUAGCUCUUCCCUUCUUGUCCGAUCCCUCAGUGGCCCUGGCUUUGGUUUGGCAAAUCCAGCACAUUGUCCAACAUCCUGGGUUUCUGACUCACUUCUUGUGCCCAUGUCUAGGUCUCAUCACAUCCUGGGUGUCAGUGAAAUGCAGCUAGUUGUUGCGCCUCACUCUGGUCACUUACCUCUGCUCAGGCAGGUCAGGAAAAUCUCUAUCCUUCAGCCCAUACGUGUCUCCUAUGCCAGAGCUGCCUUUUGCCCUUUAAAAUCUUUGCAGCAAACCAGGAAUCCUCUGGCUUGUAACAGUGGGAAAUGUAAAUUGGUACAACUACUAUGGAAAACAGUAUGAAGGUAUCUUAGAAAACUAUACAUGGAACUACCAUAUGACCCAGCAAUCCCACUCUUGGUCAUAUAUCCAGACAAAACUUUCUUUGAAAAAGACACAUGCACCCGCAUGUUCAUUGCAGCACCAUUCACAAUAGCCAAGACUUGGAAACAACCUGAAUGUCCAUUGACAGAUGAUUGGAUUAAUAAGAAGUGGUAUAUAUACACAAUGGAAUACUACUCAGCCACAAAAAGAACAAAAUUAUGCCAUUUGCAGCAACAUGGAUGGAACUAGAGACUCUCAUACUGAGUGAAGUAAGUCAGAAAAAGAAAGGCAAAUACUAUAUGAUAUCACUUAUAUCUGGAAUCUACUAUGGCACAAAUGAACCUUUCCACAGAAGGUUCAUGGACAUGGAAAAUAGACUUGUGGUUGCCAAGGUGGAGGGGGAAAGAGGGGGAUGGAUNNNNNNNNNNNNNNNNNNNNNNAAACUAUUGCGAAUGGUUAAGCAACGAAUCCUGCUUAUAGCACUGGGAACUAUAUAGUCACUUAUGAUGGAGCAUGAUAAUGUGAGGAAAAAAAAUGUAUGCAUGUAUGUGUAACUGGGUCACCUUGCUGUGCAGUAGAAAAUUGAGAGAACACUCUAAACCAGCUAUGAUGGAAAAAAUAAAAAUCAUUAUAAAUAAAAAAAAAAGAAGGAAAGCUCAGAGAGAUAACAGGGCAUGGAAUAUGUGUUGCCAACCUAGCUGGCCUGGGGGAACAUGAGGAGAGAGAAGAGGAAAAACCAGUGUCCUUGAAUGAGCUGCUUAAUGAUUGUAACAAA